rnacentral:tRNA from 1 species
UCCUCCAUAGCUCAGUGGUUAGAGCGUUUAACCGUCACCUGGAAGGUCAUGGAUUAGAUUCCCGUUGGAGAGCGCAGAA